AAGGCAAGCACGUGGAACCAGGAAGGAAAGACCCUUCUUCCUGUAGCACCCUCUACUGACAAAGCUUCACAUUUGUCACCUGACAAAAGAAGAGAUGCUCACAGGGUUCAGCUUCAGCAGCACAAAGCCAGGCAGUGAAGUUUACAAUGAGGAAACUGAGACUCCAGAAUGGGAAAGGACUUACCCAGAGGCACAUCAGCAGGAAAAUGGCCCACACAUUGAUGACCUCUCCUGGGAGCCUUCAGGGAGGGUGAGCUCUCUUGACAGACUCAUCCCUAG